ACGGGUGAUUAACACGUGGGUGAUCUGCCCUGCACUUCGGGAUAAGCCUGGGAAACUGGGUCUAAUACCGGAUAUGACCUCAUGUUGCAUGAUUUGCGGUGGAAAGAUUUAUCGGUGCAAGAUGGGCCCGCGGCCUAUCACCUUGUUGGUGGGGUAAUGGCCUACCAAGGCGACGACUGGUAGCCGACCUGAGAGGGUGACCGGCCACACUGGGACUGAUACACGGCCCAUACUCCUACGGGAGGAGCAGUGGGGAAUAUUGCACAAUGGGCGAAAGCCUGAUGCCCGACUGACCGUGAGGGAUGACGGCCUUCGGGUUGUAAACCUCUUUCCCUGGGACGAAGCGCAAUGACGGUACCUGCAGAAGAAGCACCGGCUAACUACAUGCCAGCAGCCGCGGUAAUACGUACGGUGCAAGCGUUGUCCGGAAUUACUGGGCGUAAAGAGUUCUUACGCGGUUUGUCGCGUCGAUUGUGAAAGCCACCACCUCAGCUGCUGGCUUGCAGGCGAUACCGGCAGACUUGAGUACUGCAGGGGAGACUGGAAUUCCUGGUGUA
rnacentral:rRNA from 1 species